rnacentral:rRNA from 1 species
GACGAGCCUCACAAACGUUAUUCGGAAUUACUGGGCUUAAGGGUGCAUAGGCGGCGCGGAAAGUUGGGUGUGAAAUCCCUCGGCUCAACCGAGGAACUGCGCCCAAAACUACCGUGCUCGAGGAAGAUAGAGGUGAGCGGAACUUACGGUGGAGCGGUGAAAUGCGUUGAUAUCGUAAGGAACACCCGUGGCGAAAGCGGCUCACUGGGUCUUCUCUGACGCUGAUGCACGAAAGCUAGGGGAGCAAACGGG